CAGCCGCCACGGUAAUACGAAGGGGGCUAGCGUUGAUCGGAUUUACUGGGCGUAAAGGGCGCGUAGGCGGCAUAUACAGUCAGGCGUGAAAUUCCCGGGCUUAACCUGGGGGCUGCGUUUGAUACGUAUGGGCUAGAGUGGGGAAGAGGGUCGUGGAAUUCCCAGUGUAGCGGUGAAAUGCGUAGAUAUUAGGAAGAACACCAGUGGCGAAGGCGACUUUCUGGACGAAAACUGACGCUGAGGCGCGAAAGCCAGGGGAGCGAACGGGAUUAGAUACCCCCGUAGUCCCUGUCUCUUAUAC
rnacentral:rRNA from 1 species